GGUGCCCGGGGGAAAGCGCAGCUGGGGAAGGGCCGCGCGCUGCCCGCGGGCGAGGGGAAAAGCCUCGGAAACGGCCCUGCGAGACCCGAGGGGAGAGCGGGAGGUGGGGAGGACGGGCUCCAGCCGCUCCCACACGUUCCCCCGGAGAGCCCUGGCCGGGGCGGGAUUUUUCAUCUUAUUUUCUCCCCGCAUCCCGCUGAAGAGGAGGAGUGAGGGAGUGGCUGGGUGGGUGUCUGGCAGCUGUCCAAGGUCAACCAUCACACGUGGAAAUAAAUCUUUGAGAGAAACUUUGAGUUGUGCAACUGAACCAGCAAAAGAAGUCUGAAGACAGGGCUCAUCAGCAAGCUGAUAGAGCAGCUAACUAGUAGCAUACUGUAUCAGAUAAGAAAGACUGUUAUUUUACUGUUCUUGUAAUGGUAAAGAAACAUUGGAGUACACACAGAAAUGUUAACUAAAUGUUUAUUUUGUCCACUUACUGUACAAAAUACCAUGUGAGUAGAGGUUAUCAAGUAUGGCAGUUAUGUUUCUCAGCUCCUACACUCCACCAAAACUUCUAGCAUAAGGAAAGGGGGAAGAAGGUGCUCACUAAUUUCUUUAGAAACAUCGAAAAAUGGACAGAGGAAAAAUGAUGCAAUUCUGAUGCUGAUGUAUAGGUGUUAUGGGUUGAGUGAGUGGUGUGUAUUUUUGGUGGCAGGGGAGGGGGCUAUUUGGGCGU